AGGACGAACGCUGGCGGCGUGCCUAAUACAUGCAAGUCGAACGAGGUUCAUCCGGUGGCAACACCGGAGAAGACCGAGUGGCGAACGGGUGAGUAGCACGUGAGCAACCUACCCCGAAGACUGGGAUAACACCGGGAAACCGGUGCUAAUACCGGAUACCCCCAUCGGACCGCAUGAUCUGAUGAGGAAAUGGAUUCCGCUUCGGGAGGGGCUCGCGGCCUAUCAGCUAGUUGGUGAGGUAAUGGCUCACCAAGGCUUCGACGGGUAGCUGGUCUGAGAGGACGAUCAGCCACACUGGGACUGAGACACGGCCCAGACUCCUACGGGAGGCAGCAGUAGGGAAUCUUGCGCAAUGGGCGAAAGCCUGACGCAGCAACGCCGCGUGGGGGACGAAGGCUUUCUGAGUUGUAAACCCCUUUCAGCAGGGACGAUUGUGACGGUACCUGCAGAAGAGCACCGGCCAACUACGCGCCAGCAGCCGC
rnacentral:rRNA from 1 species